AUCCAGCUGAUAAGUCCCAUAUAGGAUGAAACGCGUGUCCUGGAU
rnacentral:hammerhead_ribozyme from 1 species